GGUGGGAGGGAACGAGCUUGGGGAGGGAAGAUUUUCCCUACAGAGCAGGUCACAUCUGGCUGUGAGCUCAGCAUCUGUCUGGUACCAGAGCCAUACCAAAGGCUUCUUAAGCUCCUGGGCCUGCCCCCAGUGGAGGCAGUGGCAGAGGAGCGGUGAGGAGGGGCUUUCUGCAGUCAUUCACUGACUGGCAGUGAGCAGAGGACUGAGGCUGUGUAGCAGCUGUGGAAGUGAGGAAGAUGAGGAGCAUACAGGGAAGUACACUUGGGAGAUUGGAGGGUCUUUGCAGUGGGAUGGAAUGAGGAUUCCUGCAACUUGAGUGUUCACAUUCAUCAGGAAAUGGUGUCAGUGGCUGUUGGCUGCCAGGAGAGGAGUAUUUUGGAUGCUCCUCCUAUUUGCCUGACUGUUGUGAGAUGCUAAAAAGGGGAAGGAAGAAAGGAAGAACAAACAUUGGCCGGGGGGGAAGCUGGCAUGGCUGGUGCUGCCCUGUGUGUCUGUACCUGUGUGACUGGCUGCAGCUGGAUGGUUGGCAAGCAGUACAGUUUGCAGAGAUUCUUGAAUUGGUCUGAUGUUCUGAGGAUGUUUAUCCCAGAACACCUGGUGUGGGCAGCCGGAUUGUAAUGGAACUGAUACCUACUUCUAUGAAAUCUGGUUGAGCUGAGGAUCUGAGCAAAUACCUUUUAGCCAGAGCAAAGCUAGGAGGAAGGUGGCAUGAAGUCCUAGAUCCUGUGCUGCCACGCUGCUCUGAAGGAACAUGUGGCCAUGCCAUAAGUCACAUGUCCUGGCAGGGAGAGCAGCAAGCAUUACUGGCUGGCAGCCCUUGCAGAAGGGUGAUGCCACAUGAAAAUCCACGUGUUCAUUACUCAUGAGUUACGUGUUUGCUGCCCAUCCUCACCUUCCCACAGCAUUAUACACACAGGGUGGUGGAGCUUUCUGUGCCUGUCCCUGGAUGUUGUGCUAUUUCCUCUUGCUGCACUUUGUUUGGGGUAACAUGUAUUGUUUCUGUUGCAGUGGGUUUCAGGAGUCACUAGCAACAGUGAUACACUGCACUAUUCCUCCAAAGACCAGUGAGGAUUUGCUUAUCCCCUAAUAUCAAUGGGAAAGCUGGUAUAUCUGGUACCUGAAGUAAUGUGAUCAGCUAGAAAACGUUAAGCAUUCCCUGAACCUGAUCCUGGGCAUUAGUUGUCAACCCCCAUCAUGACAGUGAAUUUCUGGGUUAUGCAGCCUUUCAUGGACACGUGAGAGGCGCAUAAUGGAAAGCCAUCUUAGUGCUGCAAACAGCACUACAGUCACACUCUGUUCUCGCCAGCAGCCAACCACGAUGCCUGGGAAAUUGUGCAGGUGGUUUCAGAAAAUGAUAGAAGCUUUUGAAGUUAUACCCAGGAUACUAAUAGGAAAACCUGAAGUUUUUAAGUCUGCAGACACCCAUCCCAACAGCUCCUCUGCAAGGUGAGUACAGCCAGCCUUUCUGUCACAGCAAACAUAUUUAAUCUGAAACAUUGAUUGCUGGCAGCCAGAAGGUGACCAACUGGGUCGCUGUGGUCCUCAGGGUCAUCAUUCCCACCGUCCACCUCUUGCAGAGCAUCCAGACAACGCACUGGGGAGCUCGGCGCUGCUUGCCUGCACUCAGCAGUGUGCUGUUGAAUCACUGGGCCACAAAGCAAGUGCAUGCGAGGGAGCGUGGCUGUCUUUCCUACUGGUUUGAGCAUUCACAUGGGAGUUUGAGAGUCUGGACUCUGCUCCCAGGACUGUUUAUGCAUUUUACAUGGAACAGUCACCAGGUAACAUAUAAUCCCCAAUGAAAGCCCUCAGGGGGUUCAGGCAAAGCAACGCCCAGUUUCUGGAUCCUGAUCAGAGUUAGGUGUGAAAUGGGCUGAGCUGCUUGGCCCUGUCAAGACUGGGGCAGUUCUGGGCAUGCAUGAAGGUGGAACUCUAGAUAGCUGAAGAACUUGAGAGUAUUAAAAAAAAAAAAAAGCUGGAGAUUGAAAGGGACAGACGGUGGGAAGAACCUGGGAGCUGCAGCGGGCUGUAUAUGUGGGCUUUUCGAAGUGCAGAUGUAGGGUAAAGCCUCACGUGCUCCAGUGACGAAGCCCUCUUACAGGGAAACAAUUGUUCUCGCAGAUUUCUGAAGUCGAAACUUAUUUACAUAACCAUUUCUUUUUACUGUCCUAUCCUAGUCACUGCAUUUGCUUGGAUUUCUUUCCACUAGGCUGCAUGUGCUGAGCUGCACAAUGGUGGCUGCCGUAUGAAUAGCUUGUUAUUCUUACCAAGCGUGACAACUGCUGUAGCAAAAUCAAGAGCAACCUGCUCUAAUGUAAACUGAUUUCAGAUUGCCCCCGGCAGUCCCAGCUACCUCAUCUAACCUCUUUUUUUGCCAGUCUUUUUUUUCUUCCUUUCUUUUUCUUUUCUUUUCUUUUUUUUUUUUCCUUCCCCUCGCUGAAGACACACCCAGGGCUUUCUUGUAAGGUGUUUUAUCACACUGCCUUUUCCACCAGUGUCCACAACACGCAGAGAAGCUUCUCUGGUAUUAUCCUUGAUACGUCCAGAGCCACUUGGAUUCUCCAGCAGAUGCAGAACGCAGCUGCCAGCUGUCUCCUGGGGAGAGCUCUGCAGUGGUCACUGGUUGUAUAGAAUCACAGAAUAGAAUGCAGAGCACCACAGAUGUGUGCCCGGCUCUUGAUGAGGCUGUUGCAUCUUUGAUGCCCACCUGUGUUUGGAACACGUAGGGCUCAGUAAGUUCAAACAAAGGCUUAUAUUCAGAGGGACAGCCGUGUCAGGUGGGAAACAGUUGUUUUGCUAAGAGAGUGGCAGCGGGAGGUGGGCUGGGGGCAGGGGGUGUUAUGGAAGAAGCAGUUUGAUUUGACAAUCAUAGCUGCCGGAUUGGUGUGUACGAUGGGUGUGAUAUAAAUUGCUACCUAUAAAUAAAUACCACAACAGCGUUUUAAUGAAGUGUUUUCUAGUAGCACUUGUCCAGGCUGGUUGUGUUAUGCUAAGGCUGGAGAGGUAUCUCCAAGCAAGCUCCUUGGCUAAACCUUCAUAAACAUGGUCUCACCCAAGAUCUAACUAUGAUUUGUUUGGAUAAGAGGUUUUGCUUGUUUGUUUCUGGACAUGCUUUCAAAUACAUAUGGGUUUUUACUUUUAUUUAUUUAUUUUUUGCUUCUCAGCCCGGGUUCUGUGUCGGGGUCUGCGAGACCAACUGGUGCAGGGAUUAGAGCUAAGUCUGUUACUUUCUCUGGGUGUCCACUGUGGUUCUGACCGCAGGCUUGCAGAGUGCCUGGGUCAGCUGUGGUUUUUCAGGGGGCAUCUGGGGCUGCGACUCGCUGGGGACCUGUGUCUCUGCUCAGCCUGGGAGGUAAAAAUGCCCUUGCACACCAGUGCCUUUUGGGGAGUCCUCUGUCCUUAGCUUCUCCUGGUGUGCCGGCACACCUGGCACUGCAGCCCUUGCUGCUGGAAGGCACAGCCUUGUGGAUCCACACCCCACAUUUGCAGUGUGGUUCUGCUAAGAGCCAGCAGCCAUUUUUCAUGGUAGCUAGCAGAUCUUCUGAGCCUUUGGCAGCCUGGACUGCUGUAUAUAAAUGUACGUGUAUAUAUGGUAGGGUGCAGAUGCUGAAGUAGGUGUUGCAUUUGGAGGCCAUAUGUUAUACACUGCUUCUACAACAUUUCAGGCCGAAACAAUUGUUUUAUUAGGAAGUCUCACAACAUGUCCAGUUGUCACCACAAGAACGUGUGAGAGCUGCAUAAAUCCAAAAUAAAGCCCAGAAACAGUCUUUCUCAUGCUGCCUCUGAAGUGGGGAGGUUUUGACAGUGCGUUAAAGACAGACCUCUUUUUUUUUUGCUCAGGUUGAAGAUCAGAGAGAGAAAGUUCAGUUCUUUGAUCCUCGAAGAUAAAAUCUCAGAACUGAAGUCUCUUGACUUGUGAUGUAUGCACUGAAUUCAUUCAUAUUACAAAUAAGCAAUAACUGGCAGGUGAUGCUGUGGAGAUAACAGCUUCGUUCUUUUCGAGGAAUCUGUAACCAACUCCAGCCAGGUCUCCCAGAUGAACAGCUGCUUAAAAAAAAUUAAAAAUCAUCAAAUAAUUGUGGUUGGAAAGAGCAUCUAGAGGGCUGCAGCCAACCUCCUCAAAGGGGGCUGACUUCAGCAUGAGCUUAGGCUACUUAGGGCUUUGCUGUUCAAUGUUGGAAGGUAGAGAUUUCACAAACCUCUUUGGGCACCCGUUUCAGUGCAUGUCAGCUUUCAUUUUGAAGCGUUUCUCCAGUUACAUUCAAUGGAAUUUCUCCUACUACAGCUUGCGGUCAUUGCCCUUGCACUGUGCACUGUUGAUGAGCAUCUGGUUCCGUUACAUCCUGUGCAGUGAGGGUGCAAUUGGCUGUCACCACUGCACAGCCUCACAGCUGACUCAUGAUGAGCAUUUUGUCCACUGGGACCCCAGGUGCUUUUUUCAGUGAAGCUCCUUGCUAGCCACUCAGCUCCCAUCCUCUGCUGUUGCUCAGAUUAAUUCUGUAUCGCGUGCAGAUUUUGUCUGUCUCUUUGGUAUAUUUGAGGAGAUUUCUGUAAGAUUGGUCUUUGAGGCUGCUGAAGAAUAUGUGAAUGGCUGUCCUGUCCUCCAGCAUAAUGAUCGACAGCCUGAACACAGCGUCAUGCGCAAACAUGCAGAACGUGCAUUGCAGCCUUUCAUCCAGGAUGCUGGUGAAGACAGGCCCUAGUGUUGUCCCUUGAAGAAUGCCAUUUCUUAAUGCCAAUUAAUUAAAAGUCUAGCUGUUGACCAUUACUGCCUUUUGAGCUUCACGUACUUUUUCCAGGUAUGCUGUGGGCCAUCCAUCAAGUCUGUACCACCCCAGUUUGCUUUGAACAGGAGACAGUGUUACAGGCUGUGCUAAAACCGAGAUUGUCUGAGGGUCCCUCAUUGGCUUCGUGACGGAAAGUGGUUGAUUCACCUCCACCCAGCGGUAAUUACGUGUUGCUGCCUACUGGAAGUUCUCAUGCUUGGCAUUGGACUGUUUAAAACCAUUCCCCUUUGCCCUGUCCCCCUCCUGCUUGUGAGCUCCCUUCUGGAAGGCCACAGUGAGCCUUUUCUUAAGUGAUACGUUUGGGAAACAGCACACAGAAAGUAUCCACGCAAGAAAGGCAUUCUGCAAGAAAGAGCUGCUCAUUUCCAUACGCAUGCUGCAAACUUAAACACAAUGGUCCCAUUUUAUCAUUUGUUAUUUCAACUUUGCUGAUGAUUCAGUGGUGUUAUUCCGGUGAAAAUCUGGAGAAGAGCAGUGAAUCAGCUCCCUGGCUCUGCUUCGUGCUAUCUAAAAUGAGGAUCCACCUACAGUUGGUUCCUUUCCCAAAGUUGGCCUUAAAGGACAUCCCACAUAAAUCUACUCUCAGCCAGUGCCUGCAGAUGUAGCCCUCUCCCACGCGCUUACCUCUCCUGCACCCCGUUAAUGGAUUGAUUACUGGACAGAGCCCCGCCGUGUGAUGGUGCUGGGCAUGCUCAGCAAGAAGCAGCAAUUCUUGCUUUGAGCAUCAGCCAUCACAGGAGGACCUGAGGACCUGAGCAAUGAACCGAGUGUGCAGAUGUAUUUGCAGGGUGAUGGAUGAUUGAGGUGAGAUGUCUUUGACACACUGAUGGACUGGGAGGAGGGGCUUUGCUGGAUGCCUGAUGACUGCCCAUGGGAUACAGCUGGAAAAGGUCUUUUGUUUCCUCGACGUGGUAAGAGCAUCACCUUAGGAGUGUCCCUGCUGCUGCCCACAUCCAGCAGAGCCUUGGGCCCAGCGUGGCUCAGAGCUCCACUCCCAAGCUCACAGUGCAAGCAGUGUCACACAGGCUGCUGUCCUCAGUGUGACAUCAGCACCAAUGGCACUGCUGUCCCCCAUGGAUUUGCACGAGCUUUUUCACCUUGCCAGAGGCCCCUGGGGUCUUCAACCCAGGUGUCAGCAGGUGAAGGCUGACACCACCUGCAGCUGGAAGGAGCUGAUGGUGUCGGGCUGCAGGGACAGCUGGGUGGCACCACUGCAAGAGCAGCAAGUUGCUGACCAUCCCAGCAGAGGGGGGAGGGGGACCAUGACCUGCUGAUCCCCACUGCAGGCACAGCCUCGGUGGCAAAGUUUGGCUGUAGCACAUGGGAGAUAAGCCUUGUGUGUAAUCACACCACACAGACUGCAGGAGAGAAGCAAAGGCUCCAUUCUGCUGUGACACCCAGCCCCUGCCUGCACGGAGCAGCUGUCGCUGCCAAGGAGACACCAGGUGAACUCAGGAGAAGUGAAACGUCGUGAGAAAAAAUGGGGAAUGAACCAGAGAGACAGAAUCUUACAAUAAUACCAACGUAAACACAGGCCUAGUUUUUAUCUUGUGCAGAGAGAUUGUUUUUUGAGAACAAAUGCAGAGUGAAAUGAAUUCAUAAACUUCUGUACCAGGUGCAAUCAUUAGUCAGUAAAUGAAUUACACAUAA